CUUUACAAAAAUUCACUUUGUGCUAUUUUAUUUUUACAGAAGACUUACAUUAGUAUGUGUUUUCAUUAACCAAACAAAUAGAAAAGGAUUUUUGCUUUUACAAAAAAAGAUUAUAUGCGAAAAUAGCACUCAGUUUUUUGUUUUGCAGUGAACCAUAUAGUGGCAAGGUAUAUUCUGAAUAACGAGUGAUGCCAUCAAGCUCCUUCCCCAGAAUCCAAGCUAAUAACUUCGAACUGUAUCUGGUUGGAUUGAAUAAGGUUAGAUUAACUAAGUCACCAUACUGCACAUGGGAUAUACUUUAUCAAGUAACAGCCACUUUUACAGCACAUUAUAGCUUCUCCAACACCCAUGAGGGGUCAACUGGAAGAUUGAAACAUGUUUUCAACAGGAUAAAGUUAGACCCAGAUCCCUCUUGAAAAAUUAAGAGUUGUUGGAACUCAGAACUGAACUUGAAUCUUCUAAGAGAGAAGAUCAUUGCUUUAUAUCUGGACAUCUGACCAACUUUUUUAGUCUGGGAAUGAUCAAAAAUUUUCCCCAAUAUAAAUUAAUUGUAACUGCUUCUUCACUUUGUCUUCUCAGUUUACAAAACAUUUCAUAGUAACAAUCAACUUUCAUAAAGUGGGGAAACCUGUAUCUCAAAGAUUUGCACUGCUU
rnacentral:lncRNA from 1 species